rnacentral:rRNA from 1 species
AUGCCUUUCCUUAAUGGAAAUUGGAAUCUAAUAUUCUCUUCCUUCAUAUCAAUAAUCGCACCAAUCGUUCUAAAGAAAGGUCUACCAAGAAUAAUAGGGCAAGAAAGAUUGCAAUCUAUAUCAAGAACGAUAAAAUCUACGGGCACCAAAUUUCUAUUUGCAACAAUGAGAACAUCAUUGAUCCUUCCCAUUGGCUUUUUAAUGGUGGAAUCCGCAAGGUGCAAAUUUAAAGAGCAGUCAUCAAGAUCAUGGAAACCUAGAAUAUCACAUAAAGUUUUCGGAAUCGUGGAAACACUAGCACCCAAAUCACACAAAGCAAAACACUCAUGA